rnacentral:rRNA from 1 species
GAUGAACGCUGGCGGCGUGCUUAACACAUGCAAGUCGAACGAUGAAGCCCAGCUUGCUGGGUGGAUUAGUGGCGAACGGGUGAGUAACACGUGUGUAACCUGCCCUUAACUCUGGGAUAAGCCUGGGAAACUGGGUCUAAUACCGGAUAGGAGCGUCCACCGCAUGGUGGGUGUUGGAAAGAUUUAUCGGUUUUGGAUGGACUCGCGGCCUAUCAGCUUGUUGGUGAGGUAAUGGCUCACCAAGGCGACGACGGGUAGCCGGCCUGAGAGGGUGACCAGCCACACUGGGACUGAGACACGGCCCAGACUCCUACGGGAGGCAGCAGUGGGGAAUAUUGCACAAUGGGCGCAAGCCUGAUGCAGCGACGCCGCGUGAGGGAUGACGGCCUUCGGGUUGUAAACCUCUUUCAGUAGGGAAGAAGCGAAAGUGACGGUACCUGCAGAAGAAGCACCGGCUAACUACGUG